CCCGACGCUGUGAUGUUCGUUUUCUGUGUUGUCAGAAUAAGUUUUCCUACGUUAAGCAUCCAUAUUUUUGAAGAAAGUGAUGAUGGUUUGAUUCGCAGAGGAAUCGUUUAAUUUUCUUUUUUUGUCGUAUUCCCCGAAAGAAACUAACAAAUCCAAUUAGGAACGAACAGCACACAGGGUGUUGUCGAAGAGGAACACGUAGUCUAGAUUAUGAGAACAAAUUUGAAAUUCUAGACAAUGCUCUUGAGCAAUGUGUCCGUUGUUUUUGACUUCGUUUAAUGUUGUGGCUGAAUGGACAAUGAGAGAUUGAAUCAACAACAUAUCAAGUGGGCAGCUCAUGGUCAAACUCGUUUGGCAUAAAGGGUUUGUUAGAUAAGGGUGGAGGCAGCUUUAACAAUUUAGAUCUAGCACCUAUUAGACUGGUGGUGUUGGCCCCGUGAAUCUUAUCGUCUUCAAGCUGGGUGAAAAAACAAUGAUUCAGUUGGUUUCGUGCAACAUCCUCACAAAAAUGGGACAAGACUUAACAAAAAGAGCAUAUAGAUGCAGUGUCAAACUGUACCAGUGAGUACCAGAGUAAUGUGACAAACAUUCAUGAUGGUGAUUAAUCUUCACACAGCUAACAUU